rnacentral:rRNA from 1 species
UACGUAGGGGGCUAGCGUUGUCCGGAAUCAUUGGGCGUAAAGAGCGUGUAGGCGGUCCGGUAAGUCUGCUGUGAAAGUCCAGGGCUCAACCCUGGGAUGCCGGUGGAUACUGUCGGACUAGAGUACAGAAGGGGCAACUGGAAUUCUCGGUGUAGCGGUGAAAUGCGUAGAUAUCGUAAGGAAGGCCGGUGGCGAAAGCGAGCCUCUGGACAGUUACUGACGCUGAUGCACGAAGGCCAGGGGAGCAAACGGG